AAAAAAUAUAUUUAAUUAUAUCUUUAUAAUCUAUUAAGCUAGAGUUCUUCUUAAUUAGUCUACUCCCAAAUACAUGUAUCAGUCAUUAUACAUAACACAUAAGCGUUUGCACAUAAUAUCAAACAUAUACCAAAACUAAUUCAUUUCAUUACUAUUAUUAUUAUUAUGACUAAAUUUCGACAGCACCUCCCCUGUAAAUAGUGCUACCCGUCGGAAUGAAACCGACCCAACAACAAUAAUCACAACCUGUAUACACCACAUAGCUACUAUCCAACCCAAUUAACAUAAAUAAUAAUGAUUAAAAUUCCAAACAAUCCAAGUCCAAAAAUAUAAUCAAUUCUUUUCGGCUCAAUCUUUAUCAUAGCCGGCACCUUAAUCUUUUGUAUACACAAGUAACUUGAAAGUAUCGCAUACAAUUAUACAUAUUUGACUUAAAACUCACAUAAAACAAAUAUACAUCACCUACUCACAAUUAAUCACAAAACACUUAUUACUAAAACAAGAAAAUCAACUCAAUUUCUCAAAUAUUCUUGUUUACACUUUGAUAUAGCACAUAAUCACACUCAUAUAACAUAGUUAGGCUCAAAAAUCAUCAUCGCCUUACAACCGCCGGCUCACCUGAGCUCACUGCCAGCGGUGGCAAACUCCGGCGGCGCCCUUUGGGUGCCCAGCCGCGAGCUCUUAAACCCGACCCCAACCUUAAUCCGUCGUACCCACCACUCGAUCCACUGUUCUCCCCGAACUCACAUACACCGCCAUUCAAUUACGCGCAGUGGUGAGAAACGGAGAAAGGAGAGCAGCAAAUUAAGAAGGUGAUUAACAAAACCGAGUUCAACUGGCCUGUGUAUAUGAAAAAGAAAGAAGAAAUCAAGAGGGAGAGAAGAAAAGUUUUAUACCUAGCAGAGAGAAUUGAGAAGUCGGUGG
rnacentral:lncRNA from 1 species